rnacentral:rRNA from 1 species
GAUUACUGGCGCACGGGUGAGUAAGGUAUAGUUAAUCUGCCCUACACAAGAGGACAACAGUUGGAAACGACUGCUAAUACUCUAUACUCCUGCUUAACACAAGUUGAGUAGGGAAAGUUUUUCGGUGUAGGAUGAGACUAUAUAGUAUCAGCUAGUUGGUAAGGUAAUGGCUUACCAAGGCUAUGACGCUUAACUGGUCCGAAAGGAUGAUCAAUCCCCACGGAAACUGAAACACGGUCCAAACUCCUACGGGAGGCAGCAGUAGGGAAUAUUGCGCAAUGGGGGAAACCCUGACGCAGCAACGCCGCGUGGAGGAUGACACUUUUCGGAGCGUAAACUCCUUUUCUUAGGGAAGAAUUCUGACGGUACCUAAGGAAUAAGCACCGGCUAACUCCGUGCCAGCAGCCGCGGUAAUACGGAGGGUGCAAGCGUUACUCGGAAUCACUGGGCGUAAAGGGCGCGUAGCGGAUUAUCAAGUCUCUUGUGAAAUCUAAUGGCUUAACCAUUAAACUGCUUGGGAAACUGAUAGUCUAGAGUGAGGGAGAGGCAGAUGGAAUUGGUGGUGUAAGGGUAAAA